AUGCAAGUCGAGCGAGAAAGUUCCCUUCGGGGAGCAAGUAAAGCGGCGCACGGGCUGAGUAACACGUGGAUAAUCUACCUUUAAGUCUGGGAUAACCCGCCGAAAGGCGAGCUAAUACCGGAUAAGACCACUGGACAUAAGUCCUGCGGUUAAAGGCGGGGACCUUCGGGCCUGCCCCUUGAAGAUGAGUCCGCGUCCCAUCAGCUUGUUGGUAAGGUAACGGCUUACCAAGGCUAAGACGGGUAGCUGGUCUGAGAGGACGAUCAGCCACACUGGCACUGAAACACGGGCCAGACUCCUACGGGAGGCAGCAGUGGGGAAUUUUGCGCAAUGGGCGAAAGCCUGACGCAGCGACGCCGCGUGAGGGAAGAAGGUUUUCGGAUCGUAAACCUCUGUCGGGGGGGAAGAAACCCGGUACGGCCAAUACCCGUACCGAUUGACGGUACCCCUAAAGGAAGCAUCGGCUAACUACGUGCCAGCAGCCGCGGUAAUACGUAGGAUGCAAGCGUUGCUCGGAAUUAUUGGGUGUAAAGGGCGCGUAGGUGGCCUGAUAAGUCAUGGGUGAAAGCCCUCGGCUCAACCGAGGAAUUGCCUAUGAAACUGUCGGGCUUGAGUAUGGGAGAGGGAAGUGGAAUUCCUGGUGUAGCGGUGAAAUGCGUAGAUAUCAGGAGGAACACCGGUGGCGAAGGCGGCUUCCUGG
rnacentral:rRNA from 1 species